GGAUCCCAUCAGAACUCCGC
rnacentral:snRNA from 1 species